ensembl:lncRNA
AACCUGAAGGAUGUUGGCAAUUAGAGCCCAUUUCGAUCACCCGGGUUUGAGCUGACUGCCUUGGAGAACAUCAAUUAGCUCAGUGGCUAAACUGCGCUGAGAGUUACAGGUUACCAAGGGGACCUGUGGUCAAUGCCAGGAUUUAAGUGGCUCUAGUCUUCGGGGAUCAUCUUUCCUGAAUUGCAGCCAUGUUCUGGGGCUGUUGAUUAUCGGCAGGCUGAUUAGACCCUGUCUAUGGAGGAGAGUGAAUUCCUAAUUGCCAGCUGCUGAGGAGGCGAGCUUCCCGGCACAGACGCAGAGAGAUACAGCGCUUUUGCUGGAUCACACAGCCAGGAGAGGGCUCCUUACUCCUCAGUUCUGAGCCAGACCCCGAGGACCACCUUCUCACCGCCCUCAACAGUGUCCGAUCGACUCAGGGAUGGGCCAUGCCCAGCUGAUGAGAACCGGCUUCGGAGCUUCGGUGGGGACAUUUGUCUGGAGGCUCUUUUUCCCCUCACAGGUUGCUGAACUGGUAGGAGGUUACCCUGGAGCUCCUGGCCAGUGCAGAGCAAGAACCUGGCUGAGAAUCCUCACUGAUCAGAAGUCAGACAAGCAAUGGAGAGACUGAGACCCAACCCAGCACUGCCUUAUACCCUUGGCCUUUCCAGUAACAUGAGCCAAUGAAUUCCGUUUUCUCUCAUGUGUGUUCCUUUAAAUAUAACAAGUUUAACAUCAUCCGUACAUGUCACCCUUUUCUUUAUUUCUUUAGCUUGCCAGGUCUUAGUUGCAGCAUGUGAACUUAGUUGCGGUACGUGGGAUCUAGUUCCCUGACCAGGGAUCGAACUUGGUCUUUGGUGUCAUGAAGAUUGAAUGAGAUGCAGCAUGUGAAUCAUGUAAUUUGAGAACUGACUCAUAGUAAAUUAUCCAAAAAC